UAUCAAAUGGCAAAGGUGGACUUUGUUUACAGCUUACUGGUGACAAAGACAUGCUACCUCAAUAUUCAGGAUGCAUCCAGACAAAUAAACUGUGUAUUAUUAGACUACUUUUUACUUGUUUUCACUGUAAUGCUGAAGUUCUUUUACCAAGCAAGAAUAGUAAUGAGAAGAGAGUAACAACUAUUCCAGCUUUUAUGUUCUCAUCUCUGAAAAGUGCAUUGUCUGGCUUCAUGUAAGUGCAGCUUCAUUUUUUUUGGCAGUAGAUGAAUGUGCUUUUGUUUUAAACCUCAAUAUCUUUAACAUUGAACAGACGCAUGGGUAUGUGAGAUGGAGAAGAUACAGUUUAUAUACUGUGUGUUUCAUCAAACAUGGUAAACUGACUGCUUUAUCUAUAUUCAAUUUAAAAUUUAAAUUUUCCAUUGUAUUGGAGUUUUUGAAUUUGAAUUUGACUAAAAUAUGUCUAUAAGAAUUAAAGUUAAAAAGUUUAUUAUAAAUUACAAAAUUUAUCAAGAUUUCUGGGAAAAUA